rnacentral:misc_RNA from 1 species
GUGUGUGUGUGUGUGUGUCUAUGUUGUUGUAUAUUUUUGCAAACAGAAACCCACCUCCCCAAAACCAGCUUCCAGAAUAACCUACCAGCAAUGGCAGCCAUCCCAGAGUCCUACUUAGAGAAAUAAAAAUAGUAAUAGAAGGAAACGAAGCCCACUAUCCCCAACAAACAAGAUCUCUUUCUCUAUAUCUCUUCUCUGAUACAAUUUCAGAGUUUCUUCUUCUUCCUUUUUUUUCUUUUCACCCCACCUCUUCUCUUUACAUAACACCUACAUACAUAUAGAUCCAUCCAUAGAUGUACCAUCUCUCAUAUCGAUGAUUGUCAUAAAAACGCUGCUUAGUAUUGGAUUUGCAGACAUUAUAUAACCGAUAUUUGUGUUUGUGUGUGUGUAUAAAGAUUGUAUCUUUCUUCAAUUCUAUCAAGAAAAAUUCUUUAGUUGUGGCUACUACAAGGAGUAGGCAGCUUCUAUCCGACUCUGGAGCCUUUGCAGACUGGGCUACGUCCUCUUCUUCUUCAGCCAUCCGUGCCGCGGGCCCGGACGACCUUUCCCUUGGGUUUAAUGCCGGCCCUACAGCCGCCGCUGCCGCCGCUGCAGCAGCAGCUGGGGGCGGACCCACCGGCCCAUCGUGGGCUAGCUCAGCCAGACAAAUCAACUAUGGGAUCCCUCCUGAAAUGGGCAUGUUUGUUGUUGCUCCUGCUGCUUCGUUUAAUCAUCAUCACCACCACCAGCAUCAGCACCAGCAUGAGCCGUCUAUUAAUCUUGCUGAUCCAAUGAAUGGUCCGAAUGCUGCUGCCACUGCGCUUGGUGUCGGUAUGGGUGUAGGCGUUAUCCCACUUCUCACGGCCGCUCCGUGUCUCGCGCCGCAAAACAUGGAUGAUCAAGAUUUGUUCAAUAAUGGGCGCAACAAGAUCAGUGGAAUCCAGUUCUGGCAAAACCAGACCUCUCAUCACCACAGUCAAUACAAUAUAAAGAAAACUGCUGCUUCGAUUCUUGAUCACAAUAAUUCUUCGGUGAAUCUGCUUCAAAGCGUUAACAAUACCAGCGCCGGUGGCGGUCUUGGCGGUAAUUCUGCCUCAUCUGGGGCAACAACGUGUCAAGAUUGUGGAAACCAGGCCAAGAAAGAUUGCAGCCAUAGGAGGUGCAGGACGUGCUGCAAGAGUCGUGGUUAUGAUUGCACUACUCACGUCAAAAGCACGUGGGUACCGGCGGCCAGGAGGAGGGAGCGUCAGCUAAUGGCAGCUGCAGCCGGAGGAGGUGCUGGUUCUUCUGGGUCUACUUCCGGGGUCAAGAAACCUCGACUCAUAAAUUCACAAACCACCACAACUUCUCAUACUUCCACUUCUAACACUACUCCGCCAAGAAGCUUCGAUACGAGCUCCAGUCACCAAGAUGCGAGUUUUAAAGAGGCAUUGCCGGGGCAAGUACGUGCACCGGCUGUUUUCAAGUGUGUUAGAGUGACGGCAGUGGAGGAUGGUGAAGAUGAGUAUGCGUAUCAGGCUGUGGUAAAGAUCGGUGGCCAUGUGUUUAAAGGGUUUCUUUAUGAUCAAGGAGUUGAAGGAAGAGAUGGGUUCCCUAAUAUAUCCGAAUUGCAUUUGGGCGGUGCGAGCAGUAGUGGUGGUGGUGAUGGGGGAGGAAGGAAUGGAGCUUCCUCAUCUUCCCCCAUUAUUGAUCCUUCAGAUGUUUAUGGUGCAUCCGGUGGAGGGUUGUUGGGAGGUUCAAGUUAUGGUAAUCCAAUAAAUUGAGGUUUACUUUCAAGGUUUAUGUAUUGGCAUUAUUUUAGUCAAAUUUUCCUUAUGUGCACUAGGCACUAAUUACUAUCAAUAGGGUUUUGGUAAGUUGCUCUUCUAGAAUUGUGUCUUGUUGACAUGUUUUUGAUAUUUUCAGCUUCUUGGUUUGGGUUUUCUUGUUCCUCGUGUCCAUUUCCCUUCUGUAAUUGCACUGAGAGGAGGAUCACAAUGUGCUAAAGUAUUUACCUUUUCAGUGUUAGAGUAAUCCGUGUACCAAAUUUUAGAAAAGAUAGAUAAUAAAAGGCAAAAAAUCCUGUUCUUCUAGAUAUUUCAGUUCUUAAACUUUGUGAUGAUAAAUCGGUAUGCUUUCUUGAAGUUGUAGGCUUACUUGUUCCUUCU